AUUGAACGCUGGCGGCAGGCCUAACACAUGCAAGUUGAGCGGUAGAGAGAAGCUUGCUUCUCUUGAGAGCGGCGGACGGGUGAGUAAUGCCUAGGAAUCUGCCUGGUAGUGGGGGAUAACGUUCGGAAACGGACGCUAAUACCGCAUACGUCCUACGGGAGAAAGCAGGGGACAUUCGGGCCUUGCGCUUUCAGAUGAGCCUAGGUCGGUUUAGCUAGUUGGUGAGGUAAUGGCUCACCAAGGCGACGAUCCGUAACUGGUCUGAGAGGAUGAUCAGUCACACUGGAACUGAGACACGGUCCAGACUCCUACGGGAGGCAGCAGUGGGGAAUAUUGGACAAUGGGCGAAAGCCUGAUCCAGCCAUGCCGCGUGUGUGAAGAAGGUCUUCGGAUUGUAAAGCACUUUAAGUUGGGAGGAAGGGUUGUAGAUUAAUACUCUGCAAUUUUGACGUUACCGACAGAAUAAGCACCGGCUAACUCUGUGCCAGCAGCCGCAGUAA
rnacentral:rRNA from 1 species